rnacentral:tRNA from 1 species
AGGGGUAUAGCUCAGUUGGGAAAGCUCUUGAAUGGCAUUCAAGAGGCCAUGGAUUUCACUAUCUCCGCCA